CUGAAAUUUUAGGUGUAGGUCCUCCUAGUGCCUGCGCAGAUCAAGUUUGUUGCCGAUAAUCGAUAAUGAACUCCUAUUACUUGAUAUAGACUGCACUAUCGUAUAAAAUUGCUGAAUUUAUUAGGGAAAACCAUAGACAAAAAGUUAUAAACACAAAAACUGAAGAACAGAUCAAUGUUUUGAUCAUUUCUGUAAACGAAACUUUAUAAUUUGAUGACGGUGAUUUAAAAGUAAUACUGGAUAACAAUUUCACAUUUGGCGUAAUCCAAUCGAAUAUAUCGUAAUCCACUUAAUAAAAUUUCCUAGGCCUAGGCUUUUUAUGAACAUUGCAACAUUUACAGUCGCAUACGCCGGCAAAAUUUCACAAAUACAAGAAAACAUCGUGGCCGUGUGCGAAUCUAAAAUUGUCGCGGUCAACUCAUGCAAUGGAUCGAAUAACAUCGUGUUCUAUUGGGAUGCUGGAUGUGCAGCAUACUGCAACUCUCAACGCGGGUACCAUCGUUAUUAAGGAAAGCCAUUUUAAUUUAAGCCUGCUAUUUCUAUUCAAGUUAAGUGGAGAAAACCUAUGUUACUUUGAGGCAAGUGGUGGAGUCGACUGUUUGACAGUGCUUUGUGGUAGCCGGUAUUCUAUAUAUCGGAAACAGUUAAACCAUCUCUUUAAGACGUUAAUGCUGUUGCACAGCUAAGCUGAAGUGCAUCCUUAUCAUACACAAUAAUUGGUUGCAAGGUUGGCAUCAAUAAACAUGGAAACAAUAGAUUGUACGAUGACAAAAA